rnacentral:rRNA from 1 species
GAUGAACGCUAGCGGCAGGCUUAACACAUGCAAGUCGAGGGGUAUAGUUCUUCGGAACUAGAGACCGGCGCACGGGUGCGUAACGCGUAUGCAAUCUACCUUUCACAAAGGGAUAGCCCAGAGAAAUUUGGAUUAAUACCUUAUAGUAAUACGACUUGGCAUCAAGAUGUAUUUAAAGAUUUAUCGGUGAAAGAUGAGCAUGCGUCCCAUUAGCUUGUUGGUAAGGUAACGGCUUACCAAGGCAACGAUGGGUAGGGUCCUGAGAGGGANAUCCCCCANACUGGUACUGAGACACGGACCAGACUCCUACGGAGCAGCAGUGA